rnacentral:rRNA from 1 species
GUCCACGCUGUAAACGAUGAGCACUAGGUGUCGCGGGUAUUGACCCCUGCGGUGCCGACGCUAACGCAUUAAGUGCUCCGCCUGGGGAGUACGGUCGCAAGAUUAAAACUCAAAGGAAUUGACGGGGGCCCCGCACAAGCGGUGGAGCAUGUGGUUCAAUUCGACGCAACGCGCAGAACCUUACCCGGGCUAGACAACGGUGGACCGCCCCAGAGAUGGGGCUUUUCCUUCGGGAACCGCCGGUUCAGGUGCUGCAUGGCUGUCGU